GCAUCCUACUCAUGCUUCCAACUCUCUUUAAAAUAAAAUGGCACUAGAAACAGUACUAGAAACUAUUUUCGUAUUAUAUUAUCCAAAACAUUCUACGUGUUUUUGAUCCACCGGUAAAUUUAGUUUCCAGAACUUACUAAAAGAAGUCUUUACGAAAUGAGAAAUCUUUUACAAAAUACUCCUGAAAAGGUCACAAUUUCUAACUACGAAUCUAUUUUACUUUAUAUCUCUGUCAUGAGAAGCAAAAGUGUAUUGAAUAAAAAACCACUGAAGAAAAUGGAAGAGUUGAGUGAGGAAAGAAGAGACUUGAAAUUUAGAGGAAGAUAGUGAAGUUUUGUACCGCAAGAGUAUAUUUGGUAUGCAAUGCUGGACAUGACUAAGCGAUAUAAUUGCUUUUCCCUGAUUGUUCUCCACUUUCAGUCAAAUACAUCCUAGAGUUGUUGGCAGUACGCCAUUGUGCAGGUUGCCAUUUCUAUCGAGCAGAAAGUCGUGGUCAAUCUUGGGAUGCAAAAGGAAAACACAUCGAAGAUGCUUCCUUUGGUCCUCCAUUUGCUCUUGUUCAAGGAACACUUGAUGCCCAAGGAAUGACAUUCAAUAAAAUCCCGUCAGAGUACUGCCCUACCAUAAGAAGAGGAUCAGUAGCAUGGGUUGGCUCUGGUCCUGAAUUCUUCAUAAGCUUGGCAAAUCACGAAGAAUGGAAAAAUUCAUACACCGUAUUUGGUUCUGUACUUCCCGAAGACUUGAUGAUAGCAGAGAAAAUUGCUCAGCUUCCAAAAAAAUCAGAUGUUUGGAACAACAUUAAUGUGUCAGUUUUAGAAAACCCUGUACCUCUAAGGAUUCAAAGAAUGAAGAUUAGUGUGUCGUAAACUUGUAACUAGUUAUAUGCCAAUAAGAAGAUAUCUGAAUUGAGUUUUAACUGAUACUUUUUGUAUGAUGUAUUAUAGGUUUCGUUCCAUGGUUCUGCUUUUUGUCUUUGUUGUACCAUCGUUUAUUCGAGUUUUGUAAAUAUAACAAUGCAAAUGUAUGUUAUUACCUUUUUGAAGUUGAAGUUGAAGCAUUAUGCAACAGUUGCAGAACAA